rnacentral:rRNA from 1 species
ACGCUCGACACCUACUGGAGGCAGCAGUGGGGAAUAUUGCACAAUGGGGGAAACCCUGAUGCAGCGACGCCGCGUGAGUGAAGAAGUAAUUCGUUAUGUAAAGCUCUAUCAGCAGGGAAGAAAGUGACGGUACCUGAGUAAGAAGCCCCGGCUAACUACGUGCCAACNGCCGCGGUAAUCUGAGCGGGCGUGGCAAGGC